UUGAGCAAUUACUUCGGUUUCUUCUUCUUCGUUUAUUUUCUGCUUCAUCAAAGCAUUUUCAUCCACGGCAUUAUUUAUUAGUUGUUUCAGCUCAUCAUGCGGAUGCAUAUUUAAUAAAAGUAACCUAAAAGCAGAUGAAGAUUCAAGGGGAGAUAGUAAAGAAUGAAUUUCCUUAGUAAUAGAGAAAUUAUCAGCCAUUUUUAAUAAAUCAUAAGAGUUACCCCUACCCAUCAAUAAAUGUUGAAGAAUCCGAUGCGUAUCAUUCGAUUUCUUCAACAAGUUUAUUACCUUCGAACACAACUCCGGAAGCAACUUAAAUUUUUCAACUAAGUCCAACCUAUUGUUUAUUUCAACAAUGUUAGUAGAAGGUGCACAAAGUCUCCGGGUUAAUAGGCGGGAUCCAGAUUUAGUAACCGUUUUAUUAAUGGCAUGAAGAAGGGAACCCGUGUAGCGGUUCUGGUAUAAGGAUGAUCUGAUUUCAAGACCUUUCAUUGCUGACUCUCCAAUAAUCAUGUAUUCGUUUAACGAAACUCGAAUGGGUGGUUGAAUAUUUGGAUGCGAAUUUUGAAGCCGAUCAGCGAUAUAUGAUAUUAAUGUACAGCCAGCUGUAACCUCCAAUUUUGUACAAUAUUUUAUAAAGGAAGGGUCAAUUUCCUUUUCUAAAAACUUAUUCCAACAAUCCAGAGAUUGGUAUCGAUUUUCGACGUAGGAUAGGAAAUACUUUCUUUCUUGAAUAAAGGAAUAAAUAGGAUGAGUAGUAAAACUUUUCAAACUUUCGUCUAAAACAAUUUCUCUAGGAGAAAUUCUAGUCAAAUCCCCUGCUAAACGCUGCAAGUUGGAAUCUUGUGUGAAGAACUCACCAGUUGACAAGUCGAGCCAUGAUAAUCCAAUUUUACAAUCAGCGAAACAAUCCUUAUCUUCAGCAGUUCCUUGAUUAGAAAUAUCGGAACUAAAAAAAUUGGGAUCGAAGACGACAGUUAGGAUAUAGUUGCUUUCAUAAGGAUUCAUAAAAUUUUCGUCAAUUAGAGUUCCUGGAGUUAUGACUCGGGUGACAGAUCUAAUAUACAUAUUCUUUGAGCUCAGGUCAUCAACUGGCCUAAUAACUUCCUCACUCAGAGCAACGCACUUUUUUAAAUCUUCCACCAAUAUUUUGAGAUAACGGUCCAGCUUAAAAAAAGGAAAUCCCGCCAUUGAUACAUCAGAUUUAGAAGUCUUUUUCUUGGAAACCCUUAAAUUCAGCAAUGGACCUAUUUUCUCAGCUUGUUCGAAGUACAUUUCAUAGAAAUUACCAACCUUUGUAAGCAAAACACAGUCGGCAAACUUUUUUUGCUGAAAACUAACUUCUUUCAAAAGAGGAGGUAGAGUUACUUUUUCCUUCGGUCUAAUAAAAUCUAACGGAGGUCCUAACGCGCCUUGUAAAAUUGGCUUUUGGCCGACUUUGGGGGAUUUACUAGAAUUUCGAAUUUGAGUAAACGGUACCCAGGUUUUAGUGAAAGAAGAUUUACUUCUUAAUGAAAAAAUAUACCUCCAUGUCGGCAUAAUUUUCAGGUUACCGAAUGGAAGGGUUUUUUUGUAGAGUUAGCAAAAGUUUAUGUUACUAUAAGCGACAAUGAAUG
rnacentral:lncRNA from 1 species